UUGAGGGCAGACACUUUACUAAUUAGGGAACUGGCUGGGGGAGCCCUAGACCGAGGCAAUGUGGAUCAGGCUGGUUUAAAACAGGAGUGGGCAGGGGCCAUCAUGUUCUGUACCAUGUCCAGCAUGACUGAACUUGACCCCCAACUUAUAAUGUCUUCCAACUUGUAGGUGGCCUGACCCUGGAGGAUUGAGGUAUUUCUCUGAGAGCUAGAAGGAUGAGGAGUGGUGGGCUUUAUGGGCAGUGGAGUCUUAAGGAAGUGACAGGAAGCCAAGUCAGCACGAGAGGGUGCCUGAGAACUAAACGCCAUGGCCUGGGAGCACUGGUCAAGGGCCCGGGCGUUAAGAUGUACACAGAAGGUAUGGACGCUUUGAAAAAAGGAGGCUCGGAUGGACUUGGACAAAGAACAGGCUGCUCUAAAUAAUUCCUAUUAACAUUUAUUUCUGAACAUUCCGAGAUAAAGUCUUCGGAGUAAUCGCAGCGACAGCUUCCACAGGAGCACUGGGAUCGACUAUAAUCGACACUCUUCUCGGCAGUGUGACUGCUCCUGGGAAAGUCACCCAGGCCGAGGAGGCUCCUCUCGCCUUCUGCAGACUUCCUACUGUCUUCUAACCCCACACUGGGGAAACACUCAUCGAGAUUUGUUUUCGUUGUAUCCGCCAAAGACAUAGUGAACAACCUAAUUGAAAAAAGGUCUGCAAUACUACAGCCACUCGAUCAUCCUGAUCUAAGGACCGCCUUCUGGGAGGCUGACAGCCCACAGUUAAAUACACAGUCCCUAAGAAUCCAAAAGUUUCACGUGGAAGUUACCUUCCAGAAGCUCCAAGACAGCUACUAGAAACAGCCCUUCACAUAGCCCUUCCGAUGUACACAAACUCCUGAUAAGCCUUCUUAGUAGUCUAAAGUGGGAAUUUUAAACACACGGAAUGGGAAGCCAAAUACAAGAAGGAUCCCAAAUGCACCCUCUCAAUAAAACUCGCUCUAGUUAAAAGCCGACGGUUCUGCAUUUCUCUGUAACGAUACUGGGUUAAGGCGCAAUGACAGCACUGAAAUCUCUAUUUUAUAUCAGCCUACCUCGGAU